rnacentral:misc_RNA from 1 species
UUUCCGUAGGUGAACCUGCGGAAGGAUCAUUAUUGUAUAACCGAGGUGCGAGGGCUGUCGCUGACCCGAAAGGUCGUGCACGCCCGAGUGCCCUCACACACAUCCAUCUCACCCCUAUGUGCACCACCGCGUGGGUCCCCCAUUGGCUUGUUCGGAGGGGGGCUUACGUUUUCACACAAACUUUGUAUGCAGUGUAGAAUGUAUUUUUUGUUUUUGCGAUCACGCAAUCAAUACAACUUUCAACAACGGAUCUCUUGGCUCUCGCAUCGAUGAGAACGCAGC